rnacentral:rRNA from 1 species
AGGACGAACGCUGGCGGCGUGCUUAACACAUGCAAGUCGAGCGGAAAGGCCCUUCGGGGUACUCGAGCGGCGAACGGGUGAGUAACACGUGAGUAAUCUGCCCCUAGCUCUGGGAUAGCUCCGGGAAACCGGGAUUAAUACUGGAUACGACCACCUUAGACAUCUUUUGUGGUGGAAAGAACUUCGGCUAGGGAUGAGCUCGCGGCCUAUCAGCUUGUUGGUGGGGUAACGGCCUACCAAGGCGACGACGGGUA